AUUGAACGCUGGCGGCAGGCCUAACACAUGCAAGUCGAGCGAGCGGCGGACGGGGGAGUAAUGUCCGGGAAACUGCCUGAUGGAGGGGGAUAACUACUGGAAAAGGUAGCUAAUACCCCAUACCAUCAGCAGUGCCCAGAUUGGAUUAGCUAGUAGGGGGGGUAACGGCUCACCUGGGGGACGAUCCCUAGCUGGUCUGAGAGGAUGACCAGCCACACUGGAACGGCGACACGGGCCAGACUCCGACGGGAGGCAGCAGUGGGGAAUAUUGCACAAUGGGCGCAAGCCUGAUGCAGCCAUGCCGCGUGUGUGAAGAAGGCCUUCGGGUUGUAAAGCACUUUCAGCGGGGAGGCGUUACCCGCAGAAGAAGCACCGGCUAACUCCGUGCCAGCAGCCGCGGUAAUUC
rnacentral:rRNA from 1 species